rnacentral:rRNA from 1 species
UAGGUGCAGCGUCGGUUGAUUGCAUCGCGGGGGUAGAGCUACUGGAUGCUUGCGGGCCCGUGUCGGGUACCAAUAGCAGCCAAACUCCGAAUACCGUGGAUGUGUAUUCCGGCAGUGAGUCGGCGGGGGAUAAGCUCCGUCGUCGAGAGGGAGACAGCCCAGAUCGUCGUCUAAGGUCCCGAAGCGUGUGCUAAGUGGGAAAGGAUGUGGAGUCGCAUAGACAGCCAGGAGGUUGGCUCAGAAGCAGCCAUCCUUGAAAGAGUGCGUAACAGCUCACUGGUCUAGUGGUUCCGCGCCGACAAUGUAGCGGGGCUCAAGCACACCACCGAAGACGCGGCAGCGGCCUUUGCGGCCGUUGGGGAGGAGAGCGUCCCGCGUGGGGCGAAGCGGCCGGGGAACCGUGCCGUGGACCGCGCGGGAGUGAGAAUGCAGACAUGAGUAGCGAGAGACGGGUGAGGAUCCCGUCCGCUGGAUGACCAAGGGUUCCGGGGCCACGUUCGUCGUCCCCGGGUGAGUCGGGUCCUAAGGCGAGGCCGACAGGCGUAGUCGAAUGGAUGAACGGGUGGAUAUUCCCGUACCGGCGGCGUACCGUAAGAGCCGAACGGAUGAGUACUAACCUCCGGUCGCGUGGCGUCGUUCCCUUCGGGGUUCGGGGUCCGCGGUCGUUGGGAGCGUAGUCCUGGUAGGCUAGCGCACAGGGGUGACACGGAAUGGGAGCCGGCCGCGGAGGUGGUUUUCCGUGGUCAAGCACGCAGCCCGUCCCAUAGGCAAAUCCGUGGGACGCAUAGGGUGAGGUGUGAUGAUGGGCGUCCUUUGGACGCGAUAUCCGGUGGUCCAGGCCGUCGAGAAAAGCCUCGGCGCGAGGGGCGUCGCCGCCCGUACCCCAAACCGACACUGGUGGUCAGGUAGAGAAUACCAAAGCGAUCGAGCGAAUCCUGGUCAAGGAACUCGGCAAAUCACUCCCGUUCCUUCGGUUUAAGGGAGACCCCCGAUGGUGAACACACUUGCUGUGGGAGCUUUUGGGGGUGGCACAGACCAGGGGGUAGCGACUGUUUACCAAAAACACAGGUGCAUGCGAAGGCGCAAGCCGCUGUAUAUGCACUGACGCCUGCCCGGUGCCGGAAGGUUAAGAGGAUCCGUCAGCCUUCGGGUGAAGCGGUGAAUUCAAGCCCCGGUAAACGGCGGUGGUAACUAUAACCAUCCUAAGGUAGCGAAAUUCCUUGUCGGGUAAGUUCCGACCUGCACGAAUGGCGUAACGACUUCCCCACUGUCUCGACCAGGAGCUCGGCGAAAUUGCAGUACGAGUAAAGAUGCUCGUUAAGCGCAGAAGGACGAAAAGACCCCGGGACCUUUACUAUACCUUGGUAUUGGCGUUAGGCGCGGAUUGUGUAGCAUAGGCGGGAGGCUUCGAAGCAUGGGCGCCAGCCCGUGUGGAGCCGCAAGGUGAAAUACCGCUCUGUUCUCGUUUGACGUCUCACCUCGAACAGUCAUCCUGUUCAGGGACAGUGCCUGGCGGGUAGUUUAACUGGGGCGGUUGCCUCCCAAAGAGUAACGGAGGCGCUCAAAGGUCCGCUCAGCCCGGUUGGCAAUCGGGUUUCGAGUGUAAUCGCACAAGCGGGCUUGACUGCGAGAACGACGGUUCGGGCAGGGACGAAAGUCGGAGAUAGUGAUCCGGUGCCGGCGCACGGGCGCGGCAUCGCUCAACGGAUAAAAGGUACUCCGGGGAUAACAGGCUGAUCAUUC